UACGUAGGGUGCGAGCGUUGUCCGGAAUCAUGGGGCGUAAAGCGCGCGUAGGCGGCCCGGUAAGUCCGUUGUGAAAGUCAAAGGCUCAACCUUUGAACGCCGAUGGAUACUGCCGGGCUAGAGUCCGGAAGAGGCGAGUGGAAUUCCUGGUGUAGCGGUGGAAUGCGCAGAUAUCAGGAGGAACACCAAUAGCGAAGGCAGCUCGCUGGGACGGUACUGACGCUGAGGCGCGAAAGCGUGGGGAGCGAACAGG
rnacentral:rRNA from 1 species